rnacentral:rRNA from 1 species
AGAGUUUGAUCAUGGCUCAGAAUCAACGCUGGCGGCGUGCCUAACACAUGCAAGUCGAACGCGAAAGCCCCGCAAGGGGUAAGUAGAGUGGCAAACGGGUGAGUAACACGUGGGUGACCUGCCUUCGAGCGGGGGAUAACGUCCCGAAAGGGACGCUAAUACCGCAUAACAUCCUGCCUUUGAAGAGGCGGUGAUCAAAGCUGGGGAUCGCAAGACCUAGCACUCGAAGAGGGGCCCGCGCCCGAUUAGCUAGUUGGUGAGGUAACGGCUCACCAAGGCAACGAUCGGUAGCCGGCCUGAGAGGGCGGACGGCCACACUGGGACUGAGACACGGCCCAGACUCCUACGGGAGGCAGCAGUGGGGAAUUGUUCGCAAUGGGCGCAAGCCUGACGACGCAACGCCGCGUGGAGGAUGAAGAUCUUCGGGUCGUAAACUCCUUUCGAUCGAGACGAAUUCCUUCGGGGUGAACAAUCCCGGAGGUUGACGGUACCGAGAGAAGAAGCCCCGGCUAACUCCGUGCCAGCAGCCGCGGUAAUACGGGGGGGGCAAGCGUUGUUCGGAAUUACUGGGCGUAAAGGGCUCGUAGGUGGCCAACUAAGUCAGACGUGAAAUCCCUCGGCUUAACCGGGGAACUGCGUCUGAUACUGGUUGGCUUGAGUUUGGGAGAGGGAUGCGGAAUUCCAGGUGUAGCGGUGAAAUGCGUAGAUAUCUGGAGGAACACCGGUGGCGAAGGCGGCAUCCUGGACCAACACUGACGCUGAGGAGCGAAAGCCAGGGGAGCAAACGGGAUUAGAUACCCCGGUAGUCCUGGCCCUAAACGAUGAAUGCUUGGUGUGGCGGGUAUCGAUCCCUGCCGUGCCGAAGCUAACGCAUUAAGCAUUCCGCCU